GUGACACAGAGGCAAAUGCAAUCAUCCCACUAUUACCUAUUAUGAGCACUGUUGUAGGUGAAAAUGUAACCAUAUCCUAUAGUUACAAAGGAUUCACAGGAAGAGUGCUGAAUGCACAGUGGUACAGACAAUAUGACGGAUCAAAACCAGUCUUCCGUACCCACAGCUAUUCACACAAAGGUCCAGACUUACCAAUAACCAUAUCAAGAUUUUCUGGCAAAUUUGAUCAGGACCUCCAACAAGUGGAUCUACAGAUCUCAAAAGUUUUUUUGACAGAUUCAGCUGUGUACUACUGUGCACUGCAGCCCACAAUCACAGGAAACUAAGAGUUCCUAUACAAAAACAUACUAUAUUUCAGAUUUAAGGCCUUUCACGUCAUAGUUUUGGAGAUUCUGUUGAUUUCAAAAGCUAACAUGACAUGAUUUGGACUUUGUCCCAAUACUGUAACAAUUUAAAUUGCAGAUAAAUGAUAACCAACUUUUUUUUUUCAAAAACCAAUCAGGUAACAACCAACUUCUCCUCAAUUCACCAAUGUCCUUAUGAUACAUUUAAGAUGGAUAUUAUAUUGAUGCCUUUACUUGCUAGUUUUAAUGUUUUGGUUGGUUUCAAUGUACUGUACAUAAAAAAUUCAAACCAAAUAUAAAAAAUGACUUUUUGCAGUAGAAGGUGUCAGUUGUGGGAAAUAUCACUUAUAAUUUCUAAUAAUCAACAGAGGGUCCCACAAUCCUUUGGGUGGAGCUUGAUGAGAAUGAGUACAGCAGAAGGCAGUCCUGUGUUUCUCCAAAUCUCAUUUUGCAGAUGAUCUCCCACAGUCAUAAUGAUUUUGUUUUACCUUAAUGUUUUGGCACUCCUAAUGGAGAGUGUUUUUGCAGAUGCAAUAACACCCCUCUCUACUGAAAAUCAUGCUUUCAAAGGAGAAAAUGCGAUUCUUUCAUGCAACUACAGUGGAAGUAACAUACAGAGUUGGCAGUGGUACAAACAGCAUCCCAACAAUGCCCCUGAAUUUCUCUUGCAAGCUUUUGAAAAUAUGGGUCCAGAGAAGAAGGACAAUUAUGUUGCUGAAGCUAAAAAGAAUAAAAAACAUCUGACCCUGGAGAUCUCCAAAACUGAAGUGGAAGAUGCUGCAAUAUACUACUGUGCCCUGGUGCCCACAGUAACAGGAAACCCUUCAACACUGUACAAAAACCUGAGAGGAUGAAGAGUACAAAGAAAGAAAGAAAGAAAGAAAGAAAGACCCCAUGAAAGAACCAUUUUUGGGUUCCCCAAAGAACCUUUCAGAGAAUAGUUCUUAAAAGAACCAUUUCUUCUUAGUGGCACUAUAAAGAAUCUUCUAUUGAAAGGUUUUGUAGAUGUUAAGUAUUCUGUAUUUUUGUGAUUAGACUGUUACUUGUAAAUCUAGUGGCAAUACUGAUGCUUUUGUCAUAUAUUAGCAAAAGUUACAAAAGAAAAACUUUGAUAAAUAUCUACUAAAGAUAUCUACUGUAGCUUUGUCAGCAGUUUCAUCUAUAUAGCACAGACAUAAACUGAUAUAAAAUCAACAGUUUUUAGAAUCAAAUAUACCUUAUAUAUUAGUCAGACUACUAGUCCCUGAAUAGUUACUGUAAUUAGUAAUACAAACAAAUUAGUAAUCAAUAAAGUAAUAGCAUGAAAUGUACA
ensembl:lncRNA